UCAAAGACAUCUCUUUCUAUGUAUUGAGUUCUAAGGAUAUUUUUGGAAAUUCAGGUGUACUUUUUAGUCAUCUGGCUAAAUUGGCAGUGAAUUUUCCUGGUGAGAUGUGUCCUACUCCCAGCCCAUAAAUUAGUUAAAUUCAGAGUUUUUUAAACCCUUAAACCAAAAGUGGGCUUUGAGAAUCCUCAGUUAAAGGAUACCAACAGCUAAGAGUGGCCAUUUCUACCUUAACCUGUACCAGCACUUUCUUGGUAUAUAAAUAUGUCUAGCACAGUUCUAGGCAGAGCUAAGUGCUCAAUAAACAGUUUCCAGCUGAAUAAAUGAGCUCAUCUUGACUGGCAAAGUCUAGCCGGAGUCCAACACUCCAAACAUAGCCAUGUUCAUCUGGGUGCCAAGUGCUGCAAUCUCAUCGUCCUAGGUGAGGCAGAAUCUAGAGAUUAAGGAAGUCACUAAACGCUUGGAAAGAGAAUCCACAGCUCCUUGGGGAAGGCAAUCUAAGAUGAUUGUUCCCUCAUGUCUCUAAGUCCAUUUGCCUUCUGAGAUCACCCUUCCCAUGAAUAUUCAAAUAAAGUAACUCAAAGCCCAUCCUAUAUGCUGAGAGGAGUCUACAGCCCUCCUGCCUAUUUCCAAGGAUUCUUGGAAGAGAGGGCUGAGGAUUCCUGUUCAGUUCCCUUGUCAUCCUUGCAUCUAAUUUCUGCUCUCUGAUUGAUUCUCCAUUUUUGUUCACCAAUUCAUUUCUUGUGGCUACUGUCUGUUACUGAAAGUUUUAGGGUUCAGAGGAUAAAGUUAGUACAGAUAAUUUAAAUUUGAAGGGUAAAUAACCUGAUUUCUGUAAGUUUAGCUUUUAUCUAGCUCUGUCAGCCCUGUCCAUCUGCCAUCUGGCUGGACCGCUUUCUUCCUGGUCUUCCUAAAAGCCUCUUUUUCACAUUUUCCUCUUCUCCAAGUUUCGGGUUCCUCACCCGUUCUUUUCUAGGCUAUCACAAUAAUACAAAUCCUCGUUAUUUCGUUAUUUAGAGCAGACUUGCUUACUUUUGGCCUCAAUCCUUUCCCUUAGGCGAGCCUAAGGAGUUUUAUCUCCCAAAAUCAAAAAAGGACCUUCAAGAUAUUUUUCUAAGCAUAAUAAUGUCUAACAUUUAUUAGGUAUUUUACUACUUGCCAGACACUAUUCUAAAUGCUAUAUAUGGAGUGUCUCGAUUACUCUUCAGAAUAAUGCUGUGAGGUAAGUAAUGUUGUCAUGCCCAUUUUACUGAUGAGAAAACCAAAGCACAAUCUACAGCCAUACCAUCCUGAACGCACCCAGUCUCGUCUGAUCUUGGAAGCUAAGCAGAGUCGGGCCUGCUUAGUACUUGGAUGGGAGAAAACCAAAGCACAGAGAGGUUAAGUAAUUCUAAUAUUUUUUUUUCCCUCAAGAAGAAUGUUUCUAUUUUUCUAGACUAACUACCAAAACUGAAGCUGGCUUUCUCCUUGCUAGGCAAUCAGACUGUGAAUUGAAAAGUCAUAUUGCCUUCAAGUGAUUAUUUCUUUAAUCUGUAUGAUCAUUGCUUACAUUAGGUAUACUUCCCCAAAACUAGUACCAUGAAUACUUGUGUACCAGACUCUGAACAUUCUGCACAUUUCAUGCAUUAUGCACAUUUGGCAAAACUUUCCCUUUUUACAAAGAAUGUGCUUGAGAAGCUUAGAAUAUAUGGAUCAAAUGUGGAAAUCUCAUCUAAUUCACUGCAUGUUUUUGAAAGUCAAGGGGGAAAUCAGUAAGUGAGGAGAUGAGAUGACCUCUAGACUGGUCACUGAUGAAAGCCACACACCUGGAGUACUGAGAGGAGGUUAUUUUUGCCCCAUGCUUCUGUCUUUUGGGACAUACAUGGUUAGGUUGCCUGCCUUAACUCUAAGGCCUGCUUGCAUUGAAGUAGCCCCUUUGAGCUGCACUUCCUGGUAGAUGUUUAGAAGCCUGAUAUCUGCUGUUUGCCACAGUCUGGGCUUGUUCUGGAACCUGUUCCUUGGCCAAUAAUGAUGCCUUCCUGUCUUCCUGAUAAUAACAGGUCAUAAAGGGCAGUGGCACCUUUCUGACUUCAAUCCACUGAACUGAAUAAGUUAGUUUCUAGGGCCGUCUUUGCCAUUGAUUUGCAUUACAGCCACAGCCAAUGUACCUAACCCCUUUGGAGCUGAAUCUCUGCAUCUGUAAAGUGAGUGGACUAUCCUAGAUUACCACCAGGAUUUCUUCCAGCUCCAAUGAGUUUGUGAAGUGUGAUAGUCACAUUGCUACUUAUGAACAAAUACAUUUUUUACGUGAAUACUAUUUUUUCCUCACCAAAUAAGUACACUUAUUAUAGCUAGGUUUUAUUUUGUGUAAUGUUAAAAAAUAAGAAUAAGAGUAGAAAGGAGUAUAAACUAAAAGAUAACUCGGAUGUGUUUUUUCAGAACCCAAAUAAGAUACAUACUUCUAUUUUUAAGCUCUCAUAUAUGAUGGCUGUGAGAAUCUUGGUUGUUUUCUACAUCGAGGCAUACUCUAUGCAGAUCUAAAACUUUGGUUGCUCGCAAUUUGUGACUUUGAAGCUGUUAUUUCUCUGGAAAGAACUGUUACUAUGGCUUAUAUAAAUAUUGGCCUCAUAUAUCUACUAUACCUAGAUAACUACAUAGAAGCCACUUGGUAUUUUUCUGAGGCUAUUAGACUUGACCCUUCAUAUAUUCAAGGGUAUAUUUGUCGAGCGGAAGCCUAUCAUAAGUUGCAUAAAUUGAAAAAGGCAGUGAGAGAGUUAUCUCGUGCUAUCCACCUCCAGCCAGAUGGGACCCAGUUAUAUAUAAUGAGGUAUGAACAUAGAAAUGGAAUUCUUCUUAGGAUAACUUAGCAUCUGAGCUAGAUGUUGGAAUCCUUAGGUCUCUCUUG